rnacentral:rRNA from 1 species
GUGAGGAAUAUUGGUCAAUGGGCGGGAGCCUGAACCAGCCAAGUCGCGUGAAGGAAGAAGGAUCUAUGGUUCGUAAACUUCUUUUGCAGGGGAAUAAAGUGCAGGACGUGUCCUGUUUUGUAUGUACCCUGAGAAUAAGGAUCGGCUAACUCCGUGCCAGCAGCCGCGGUAAUACGGAGGAUCCGAGCGUUAUCCGGAUUUAUUGGGUUUAAAGGGUGCGUAGGUGGUUUGAUAAGUCAGCGGUGAAAGUUUGCAGCUUAACUGUAAAAAUGCCGUUGAAACUGUCGGACUUGAGUGUAAAUGAGGUAGGCGGAAUGCGUUGUGUAGCGGUGAAAUGCAUAGAUAUCACGCAGAACUCCGAUUGCGAAGGCAGCUUACUAAGCUACAACUGACACUGAAGCACGAAAGCGUGGGGAUCAAACAGGAUUAGAAACCCCAGUAGUCC